UACGUAGGGGGCAAGCGUUGUUCGGAAUUACUGGGCGUAAAGGGCUCGUAGGCGGCCAACUAAGUCAGACGUGAAAUCCCUCGGCUUAACCGGGGAACUGCAUCUGAUACUGGAUGGCUUGAGUUCGGGAGAGGGAUGCGGAAUUCCAGGUGUAGCGGUGAAAUGCGUAGAUAUCUGGAGGAACACCGGUGGCGAAGGCGGCGUCCUGGACCGACACUGACGCUGAGGAGCGAAAGCCGGGGGAGCAAAACGGGG
rnacentral:rRNA from 1 species